UACGUAGGGUGCAAGCGUUGUCCGGAAUUAUUGGGCGUAAAGAGCUCGUAGGCGGUUUGUCGCGUCGGCUGUGAAAACCCGGGGCUCAACCCCGGGCCUGCAGUCGAUACGGGCAAACUAGAGUGUGGUAGGGGGGACUGGAAUUCCUGGUGUAGCGGUGAAAUGCGCAGAUAUCAGGAGGAACACCGGUGGCGAAGGCGGGUCUCUGGGCCAUAACUGACGCUGAGGAGCGAAAGCGUGGGGAGCGAACAGG
rnacentral:rRNA from 1 species